rnacentral:snoRNA from 1 species
AGCCUCAGUCUGGAUUGGAAUGGGCACUGUUGAUUGGAGUCCAGAAUUGGUCAGUGUGGCUACAAUUGAGACACAGGUCAUGCUUCCAUCAAUGGGGUCAAUGAGGCCUGUAACACUU